rnacentral:rRNA from 1 species
UACGAAGGGGGCUAGCGUUGUUCGGAAUCACUGGGCGUAAAGGGCGCGUAGGCGGCUUUGUAAGUCGGGGGUGAAAGCCCGAGGCUCAACCUCGGAACUGCCUUCGAUACUGCGGGUCUCGAGUCCGGGAGAGGUGAGUGGAAUUCCUAGUGUAGAGGUGAAAUUCGUAGAUAUUAGGAAGAACACCAGUGGCGAAGGCGGCUCACUGGCCCGGUACUGACGCUGAGGCGCGAAAGCGUGGGGAGCGAACAGG